rnacentral:rRNA from 1 species
AUUGAACGCUGGCGGCAGGCCUAACACAUGCAAGUCGAACGCGUGGCGGACGGGUGAGUAAUGUCUGGGACACUGCCUGAUGGAGGGGGAUAACUACUGGAAACGGUAGCUAAUACCGCAUACCAUCAGAUGUGCCCAGAUGGGAUUAGCUAGUUUGUGGGGUAACGGCUCACCAAGGCGACGAUCCCUAGCUGGGCUGAGAGGAUGACCAGCCACACGGGAACGGAGACCCGGCCCAGACUAAUACGGGAGGCAGGAGUGGGGAAUAGUGCACAAGGGGCGCAAUCCUGGUGCGACCAUGCCGCGUGUAGUAAGAAGGCCUGCGGGUUGGAGAGUACUUUCAGCGGGGAGGCGUUACCCGCAGAAGAAGCACCGGCUAACUCCGUGCCAGCAGCCGCGGUAAUAC